rnacentral:rRNA from 1 species
GUCGAACGGUAACAGGAAGAAAGCUUGCUUUCUUUGCUGACGAGUGGCGGACGGGUGAGUAAUGCUUGGGAAUCUGGCUUAUGGAGGGGGAUAACUACUGGAAACGGUAGCUAAUACCGCGUAAUGUCUACGGACUAAAAGGGGCGAAAGCUCUUGCCAUAAGAUGAGCCCAAGUGGGAUUAGGUAGUUGGUGAGGUAACGGCUCACCAAGCCGUCGAUCUCUAGCUGGUCUGAGAGGAUGACCAGCCACACUGGAACUGAGACACGGUCCAGACUCCUACGGGAGGCAGCAGUGGGGAAUAUUGCACAAUGGGGGAAACCCUGAUGCAGCCAUGCCGCGUGAAUGAAGAAGGCCUUCGGGUUGUAAAGUUCUUUCGGUGAUGAGGAAGGUGUAAUGGUUAAUACCCAUUACAAUUGACGUUAGUCACAGAAGAAGCACCGGCUAACUCCGUGCCAGCAGCCGCGGUAAUACGGAGGGUGCAAGCGUUAAUCGGAAUAACUGGGCGUAAAGGGCACGCAGGCGGUUGUUUAAGUGAGGUGUGAAAGCCCCGGGCUCAACCUGGGAAUUGCAUUUCAGACUGGACAACUAGAGUACUUUAGGGAGGGGUAGAAUUCCACGUGUAGCGGUGAAAUGCGUAGAGA